GCCUUCGUAGUGUAGUGGUCAGCACGCUCGACGUGUAUUCGAGAGGCCUUUGGUUCGAAUCCCUGCGAAGGCC